rnacentral:rRNA from 1 species
AUUGAACGCUGGCGGCAGGCCUAACACAUGCAAGUCGAACGAGUGGCGGACGGGUGAGUAAUGCUUGGGAAUCUGGCUGAUGGAGGGGGAUAACUACGGGAAACGGUAGCUAAUACCGCAUACCAUAGGAUGAGCCCAGAUGGGAUUAGCUAGUUGGUGAGGUAAAGGCUCACCAAGCCGACGAUCUCUAGCUGGUCUGAGAGGAUGACCAGCCACACUGGAACUGAGACACGGCCCAGACUCCUACGGGAGGCAGCAGUGGGGAAUAUUGCGCAAUGGGGGCAACCCUGACGCAGCCAUGCCGCGUGAAUGAAGAAGGCCUUCGGGUUGUAAAGUUCUUUCGGUAGCGAGGCGUUAACUACAGAAGAAGCACCGGCUAACUCCGUGCCAGCAGCCGCGGUAAUUC